CACGUAGGGGGCGAGCGUUGUCCGGAAUCAUUGGGCGUAAAGAGCUCGUAGGCGGCUCGGUAAGUCGGGUGUGAAACCCCCAGGCUCAACCUGGGGACGCCACCCGAUACUGCUGUGGCUAGAGUCCAGUAGGGGAGUGUGGAAUUCCCGGUGUAGCGGUGAAAUGCGCAGAUAUCGGGAGGAACACCAGCGGCGAAGGCGGCACUCUGGGCUGGAACGUGACGCUGAGGAGCGAAAAGCGUGGGUAGCAAACAGG
rnacentral:rRNA from 1 species